rnacentral:rRNA from 2 species
CCAACGACUCUCGGCAACGGAUAUCUCGGCCCUCGCCUCGAUGAAGAACGUAGCGAAAUGCGAUACGUGGUGUGAAUUGCAGAAUCCCGCGAACCAUUGAGUCUUUGAACGCAAGCUGCGCCCGAGGCCUUCUGGACGAGGGCACGCCUGCCUGGGCGUCACGC